AUUGGUUUAGUAUAUUGUAGUGCGUGAGAUUGUAAAUCUUGAGGUAGAUUGUGAUCUAGCCAAAA
rnacentral:tRNA from 1 species